rnacentral:rRNA from 1 species
CAGUCGCCACGGGAAUACGUAGGUGGCAAGCGUUGUCCGGAAUUAUUGGGCGUAAAGGGCUCGCAGGCGGUUUCUUAAGCCUGAUGUGAAAGCCCCCGGCUCAACCGGGGAGGGUCAUUGGAAACUGGGAAACUUGAGUGCAGAAGAGGAGAGUGGAAUUCCACGUGUAGCGGUGAAAUGCGUAGAGAUGUGGAGGAACACCAGUGGCGAAGGCGACUCUCUGGUCUGUAACUGACGCUGAGGAGCGAAAGCGUGGGGAGCGAACAGGAUUAGAUACCCCCGUAGUCCCUGUCUCUUAUAC